CCUGGUUGAUUCUGCAGUAGUCAUAUGCUUGUCUCAAAGAUUAAGCCAUGCAUGUCUAAGUAUAAGCAAUUACAAAGCGAAACUGCGAAUGGCUCAUUAUAUAAGUUAUCGUUUAUUUGAUAGUACCUUACUACAUGGAUAACCGUGGUAAUUCUAGAGCUAAUACAUGCUGAAAAUCCCGACUUCGGAAGGGAUGUAUUUAUUAGAUACAAAACCAAUGCCCUUCGGGCUCUCUUGGUGAUUCAUGAUAACUUCUCGAAUCGCACGGCCCGCGCCGGCGAUGGUUCAUUCAAAUUUCUUCCCUAUCAACUUUCGAUGCUACGGUAUUGUCCUAGCAUGGUUGCAACGGGUGACGGAGGGUUAGGGCUCGACCCCGGAGAAGGAGCCUGAGAAACGGCUACUACAUCCAAGGAAGGCAGCCGCGCAAAUUACCCAAUCCCGACUCGGGGAGGUAGUGACGAUAAAUACCGAUACAGGGCUCUUUUGGGUCCUGUAAUUGGAAUGAGUAAAUUCAAAUCCCUUAACGAGGAACAAUUGGAGGGCAAGUCUGGUGCCAGCAGCCGCGGUAAUUCCAGCUCCAAUAGCGUAUAUUAAAGUUGUUGUGGUUAAAAAGCUCGUAGUAGAAGCUCGGCCUCCGGUCGGCCGGUCCGCCUCACCGCGUGCACUGGUUCGGCCGGGGCUUCACCUUCUGCGGAACCGCAUCUCCUUCACUGGGGUGUCGGGGAAACAGGACGUUUACUUUGAAAAAAUUAGAGUGCUCCAGGCAGGCCUAUGCUCGAAUACAUUAGCAUGGAAUAAUGGAAUAGGACGUGUGGUCUUAUUUCGUUGGUUUCUAGGACCGCCGUAAUGAUUAAUAGGGACAGUCGGGGCAUCAGUAUUCAAUCGUCAGAGGUGAAAUUCUUGAUCGAUUGAAGACUAACUACUGCGAAAGCAUUUGCCAAGGAUGUUUUCAUUUAUCAGGAACGAAAGUUAGGGGAUCGAAGACGAUCAGAUACCGUCGUAGUCUUAACCAUAAACUAUGCCGACUAGGGAUCGGACGGUGUUAUUUCUUGACCCGUUCGGCACCUUACGAGAAAUCAAAGUGCUUGGGCUCCAGGGGGAGUAUGGUCGCAAGGCUGAAACUUAAAGAAAUUGACGGAAGGCACCACCAGGGGUGGAGCCUGCGGCUUAAUUUGACUCAACACGGGGAAACUCACCAGGUCCAGACACAACGAGGAUUGACAGAUUGAGAGCUCUU
rnacentral:rRNA from 1 species